GAUUUAUCUGCCGGGGUUGUAGGACUGAGACAUGGCACUUCAGAGGAUAGCAGAAGCGUUUGGGAAAGCGCGCCAGAGAGGGUGAGAGCCCCGUAAGCGAAAUCCAAAGAAGGCCUAUCAGUAUCCUGAGUAGGGCGGGACACGUGAAAUCCCGUUUGAAUCCGCGAGGACCAUCUCGCAAGGCUAAAUACUAACCAGUGACCGAUAGUGAACCAGUACCGUGAGGGAAAGGUGAAAAGAACCCCGGGAGGGGAGUGAAAGAGAACCUGAAACCGUGUGCCUACAAGUAGUCAGAGCCCGUUAACGGGUAAUGGCGUGCCUUUUGUAGAAUGAACCGGCGAGUUGCGUUAGUCAGCAAGGUUAAGUCAGAAAAGACGGAGCCGUAGCGAAAGCGAGUCUGAAGAGGGCGAGCAGUUGGCUGACGCAGACCCGAAACCAAGUGACCUACCCAUGACCAGGUUGAAGGCGCGGUAAAACGCGCUGGAGGACCGAACCCACGUAAGUUGAAAAUUGCGGGGAUGAGUUGUGGGUAGCGGUGAAAUUCCAAACGAACUUGGAGAUAGCUGGUUCUCUCCGAAAUAGCUUUAGGGCUAGCCUCGCAAAGAGGAUGCUGGAGGUAGAGCUCUGUUUGGACUAGGGGCCCGUCAAGGGUUACUGAAUUCAGAUAAACUGCGAAUUCCAGACAUUUAUGUGCGGGAGUCAGACUGCGAGUGAUAAGAUCCGUAGUCGAAAGGGAAACAGCCCAGAUCACCAGUUAAGGUCCCAAAAUUCAUGCUAAGUGGAAAAGGAUGUGGAGUUGCGCAGACAACUAGGACGUUGGCUCAGAAGCAGCCAUCAUUCAAAGAGUGCGUAAUAGCUCACUAGUCGAGUGACGCCGCGCCGAAAAUUUACCGGGGCUAAGCAUGAUACCGAAACUGUGGAUGUGCGUUUAUGCACGUGGUAGGAGAGCGUUCUAGCGGCGGUGAAGCAUGACCGAGAGGACAUGUGGAGCUUCUAGAAGUGAGAAUGCCGGUAUGAGUAACGAAAGACAGGUGAGAAUCCUGUCCGCCGCAAGACUAAGGUUUCCUGGGGCAGGCUCGUCCGCCCAGGGUAAGUCGGGACCUAAGGCGAGGCCGAGAGGCGUAGUCGAUGGACAACAGGUUGAAAUUCCUGUACUGCACCGAAUCGUUAUGAGCGAUGGAGGGACGCAGGAGGCUAGCAGCGCGUGGUGCUGGAUACCACGUUCAAGCGUCAAGUCUGAGAGUGAGUCAAAUGCUUGCUCUCAUAAGGACAAGGCGUGAUGAGGAGCGAAAUUAAAGUAGCGAAGGCUGCGACGUCACACUGCCGAGAAAAGCUUCUAGCCAGAGACGGUGCACCCGUACCGCAAACCGACACAGGUAGUCGAGGAGAGUAUCCUCAGGUGAGCGAGAGAACUCUCGUUAAGGAACUCGGCAAAAUGGCCCCGUAACUUCGGGAGAAGGGGCGCUGGUCGCAAGAUCAGCCGCAGUGAAAAGGCCCAAGCAACUGUUUAUCAAAAACACAGGCAUCUGCAAAAUCGUAAGAUGAAGUAUAGGUGCUGACACCUGCCCGGUGCUGGAAGGUUAAGAGGAGAGCUUAGCGCAAGCGAAGGUUUGAAUUGAAGCCCCAGUAAACGGCGGCCGUAACUAUAACGGUCCUAAGGUAGCGAAAUUCCUUGUCGGGUAAGUUCCGACCUGCACGAAAGGUGUAAUGAUUUGGGCACUGUCUCAACGAGAGACUCGGUGAAAUUAUAAUACCCGUGAAGAUGCGGGUUACCCGCGACAGGACGGAAAGACCCCAUGGAGCUUUACUGCAGUUUAAUAUUGGGUAUCUGUCAAGCAUGUACAGGAUAGGUAGGAGCCGGAGAAGAUAGGACGCCAGUCUUAUC
rnacentral:rRNA from 1 species